UGAAGGAACCACACAGAGGUCCCUAGCCCCUUACCCAGCUAGGACACAUCGAAAAGGGCAAUCUAUGAACCAGGAAGUGGGCCCUCUCAUCAGCCUGGAUACCGAAUCUGCUGGCGUAGAGAUUUUUGAUUACAUAGACUACAGAACUGUGAGAAAUACAUUUCUGUUGUUUAUCAACUGUCAAGUCUUUGGUAUUUUGUUAUAGCAGCUCAAACGGACUAAGAAAAUAUACUUUAAAAAUUAGAUGAAUAUCAUCUAUCCUUCACAUCUGAGAGCAGAUGCCCUGACUCUCAUGGGCUGUUCUUCAGGUCCAUGGUUAUUCCAGAUUAGCUAAUAAUUGACAUACUCAAGAGAGCAGGGUAAGGUCAGAACUGCCCUUCGGAACCAGUCAUUCAGCCAUAGGAGACAAACCUUACAAGGUGCCUUUCAAAUCAAUCAAGAGCAGAAAACUUGAUCACUCUGGGAAGGCAGGCAGCUAUGGCCAACUUCUUAAGAAUGAGAAAAUGGACAACCUCAGAGAAGGGUGUAAAGCUUGUAGAAGCAAAAGUGGAUUAGUACUCUACUCAGCUUUGUCUGACUUCACGUGAUGUGUUCUUUCUGUUAGACUGUGUUGCCUACCAAAGUCAAGAGUCAAGGGAAUGGAUUUCAGUUGAUGAACUUUUAUACAUGCUAGUGAGCACAAGAUGGUUGGAUGCUAGAAGGCUGAGAGAUCAUCUAAAUCAACUUGCUCAAGAUUCCAGAAAAAUUUCCAAACUGAGCCAAGAUCCUGGUCCUGACACCCUUCCAUGAAAUUGUACCUACUGUGAUAGUUCAGAAGAAUCCAGACAAAGUAUAUUAUGUUUCUGCUUGAAUUAAAAAACUAUUUACCUUUGGUACAU